GUGUGCACUAAUUGUGUUGAUUUUGUCUGAUCUCAGAAGCUAAGUGAGGUUGAGACUAGUUAGUACUUAGAUGGGAGACUGCCUGGGAAUAUUGGGUGCUGUAGACA
rnacentral:rRNA from 1 species